CGCCUCUUGAAAAUAAUAAGAGGCCUAGCCUGCCCAGUGACAAAUUUAACGGCCGCGGUACCCUAACCGUGCAAAGGUAGCAUAAUCACUUGUUCUCUAAAUAAGGACUUGUAUCAACGGCAUCACGAGGGUUACACUGUCUCCUCUCUCCAAUCAGUGAAACUGAUCCCCCCAUGAAAAAGUGGGGAUAAACCUAUAAGACGAGAAGACCCCAUGGAGCUUUAAACCCGAUAGCAACUUAGCAAAUGCCUUCCCACUAGCUACAAAGCUAUGCUAGACGGUUUUAGGUUGGGAGGACCGCGGAGUAAAAACUAACCUCCGCAACGAAAAGAUUAAAACCUUUACCCUAGAGCCACUACUCUAAGGAUUAGUAAACUAACGUAAAAUGACCCAAUAUUGAUCAACGAACCAAGUUACCCUGGGGAUAACAGCGCAAUCUACUUCAAGAGUUCAUAUCGACAAGUAGGCUUACGACCUCGAUGUUGGAUCAGGGUGUCCCAGUGGUGCAGCCGCUACUGAAGGUUCGUUUGUUCAACGAUUAAAACCCU
rnacentral:rRNA from 1 species